rnacentral:tRNA from 1 species
ACCUAAAUAGCUUAUAUAAGAGUAUGAUAUUGAAGAUGUCAGGGAAAUAAAAUUAUUUUUAGGUA